rnacentral:rRNA from 1 species
UACAGAGGUCCCAAGCGUUGUUCGGAUUAACUGGGCGUAAAGGGUGCGUAGGUGGUCGGGUAAGUCUGAUGUGAAAUCUCUGGGCUCAACCCAGAAAUGGCAUUGGAUACUAUCCGGCUAGAGGAGUGGAGGGGGGACUGGAAUACUUGGUGUAGCAGUGAAAUGCGUAGAUAUCAAGUGGAACACCAGUGGCGAAGGCGAGUCCCUGGACACUUCCUGACACUGAGGCACGAAAGCUAGGGGAGCAAACAGG